GUGAAGAAUAUUCCACAAUGGACGAAAGUCUGAUGGAGCGACGCCGCGUGGAUGAUGAAGGCCUUCGGGUUGUAAAAUCCUUUCGUGCGGGAAGAUUUUCCCGCCGGUGAACAACCGGCGGGAUCGACUGUACCGCAGGAAGAAGCCCCGGCUAAUUACGUGCCAGCAGCCGCGGUAAUACGUAUGGGGCGAGCGUUAUUCGGAUUCAUUGGGCGUAAAGGGUAUGCAGGGGGCUCGUUAAGUCGGGAGUGAAAUUUCCAGGCUCAACCUGGAACUUGCUUUCGAUACUGGCGAGCUAGAGUUUGGCAGAGGAGAAUGGAAUUCCAGGUGUAGGGGUGAAAUCUGUAGAUAUCUGGAAGAACACCAGUGGUGAAGACGAUUCUCUGGGCCAAAACUGACCCUCAGAUACGAAAGCCAGGGGAGCAAACGGGAUUAGAUACCCCGGUAGUCC
rnacentral:rRNA from 1 species